GAUGAACGCUGGCGGCGUGCCUAAUACAUGCAAGUCGAGCGAACCACUUCGGUGGUGAGCGGCGAACGGGUGAGUAACACGUAGGUGAUCUGCCCAUCAGACGGGGACAACGAUUGGAAACGAUCGCUAAUACCGGAUAGGACGAAAGUUUAAAGGUGCUUCUGGCACCGCUGAUGGAUGAGCCUGCGGCGCAUUAGCUAGUUGGUAGGGUAAAGGCCUACCAAGGCGACGAUGCGUAGCCGACCUGAGAGGGUGAACGGCCACACUGGGACUGAGACACGGCCCAGACUCCUACGGGAGGCAGCAGUAGGGAAUCUUCGGCAAUGGGCGAAAGCCUGACCGAGCAACGCCGCGUGAAUGAUGAAGGCCUUCGGGUUGUAAAAUUCUGUUAUAAGGGAAGAACGACUUUAGUAGGAAAUGGCUAGAGUGUGACGGUACCUUAUGAGAAAGCCACGGCUAACUACGUGCCAGCAGCCGCGGUAAUACGUAGGUGGCGAGCGUUAUCCGGAAUUAUUGGGCGUAAAGAGCGCGCAGGUGGUUGAUUAAGUCUGAUGUGAAAGCCCACGGCUUAACCGUGGAGGGUCAUUGGAAACUGGUCGACUUGAGUGC
rnacentral:rRNA from 1 species